rnacentral:rRNA from 1 species
AAUCAACGCUGGCGGCGUGCCUCAGACAUGCAAGUCGAACGCGAAAGUCUCCUUCGGGGGACAAGUAGAGUGGCGCACGGGUGAGUAACACGUAGGUAAUCUACCUUCGGAUGGGGAAUAACAACCGGAAACGGUUGCUAAUACCGCAUAAUGCAGCGGCACCUAAUGGUGACAGUUGUUAAAGCGGGGGAUCGAAAGACCUCGCGUCUGAAGAGGAGCCUGCGGCGGAUUAGCUAGUUGGUAAGGUAACGGCUUACCAAGGCGACGAUCCGUAGCCGGCCUGAGAGGGCGGUCGGCCACACUGACACUGACAUACGGGUCAGACUCCUACGGGAGGCAGCAGUCGGGAAUUUUGGGCAA